GUGCUCACUUCAGCAGCACAUAAACUAAAACUGGAACCAUGCGGAGGAGAUCAGUAUUGCUCCUGCACAAAGACAACAUGCAAAUUAAUGGAAUAUUCCAUAUUUUA